rnacentral:rRNA from 1 species
GACGAACGCUGGCGGCGUGCUUAACACAUGCAAGUCGAACGAUGAAGCCGGAGCUUGCUCUGGUGAAUUAGUGGCGAACGGGUGAGUAACACGUGAGUAACCUGCCCUUGACUCUGGGAUAACUGCGGGAAACUGUAGCUAAUACCGGAUACGACCCUCGGAGGCAUCUCCUGGGGGUGGAAAGAAUUUCGGUCAAGGAUGGACUCGAGGCCUAUCAGCUAGUUGGUGAGGUAAAGGCCCACCCAGGCGACGACGGGUAGCCGGCCUGAGAGGGUGACCGGCGACGCGGGGAGUGAGAAACGGCCCAGACUCCUGCGGGAGGCAGCAGUGGGUAAUAUGGCACAAUGGGCUCAAGCCUGAUGCAGCAACGCCGCGUGAGGGAUGACGGCCUUCGGGUUGUAAACCUCUUUUAGCAGGGAAGAAGCGAAAGUGACGGUACCUGCAGAAAAAGCACCGGCUAACUACGUGCCAGCAGCCGCGGUAA